AUUGAACGCUGGCGGAAUGCUUUACACAUGCAAGUCGAGCGGCAGCGCGGGGCAACCUGGCGGCGAGCGGCGAACGGGUGAGUAAUACAUCGGAACGUGCCCAGACGUGGGGGAUAACUACUCGAAAGAGUGGCUAAUACCGCAUACGAUCUAAGGAUGAAAGCGGGGAUCGCAAGACCUCGCGCGUUUGGAGCGGCCGAUGGCAGAUUAGGUAGUUGGUGGGGUAAAGGCUUACCCAAGCCGCGAUCUGUAGCUGGUCUGAGAGGAUGAUCAGCACACUGGGACUGAGACACGGCCCAGACUCCUAC
rnacentral:rRNA from 1 species